GUGUCACAUCCUCUUUCUCCGUCGUCACCCCUAGUUCUGCUGUUUACCAGGUUGUUAUUGGCGGCGGUGGAGGAGGAGGCUUCAUUGGAGAUGGAGGUGGAGCUGCAACUUCUGCUGGAGGUGCCACCGCUGCUGCAGAGACUCCUGCCACUGAGGAGAAAAAGGAAGAGCAAGAGGAGAGUGAUGAUGAUGAUAUGGGAUUCUCCCUAUUUGAUUAAGAGCCUUUUGUCUGUUAAAAUCCUAGCAAGUGAUCGUUUACAUUUUUUAUUUUUCUUUUAUGCUUGAAUUAGACUUGUACUGUAUCAGAAACGGCAUUUUGGAGUUGAAUUUGACAAUAUGAGUAUGUUGUCUUUAUUUUGUUA